CGAAAUUAAGUCGGGGCACCUGACGCUCUUGUGGGGCCCGGGCCUAUCAGCUAGUUGUGAGGUACGGCCACCAGUAUGACGGGUAGCUGGUCUGAAGACGACCACCACACGGGGACUGAACAGGCCCGAUCUAGGGAGCGCAGUGGGGAAUUUCCCGAAUGGGCGAAAGCCUGACGGAUGACGCCGCGUGUGGGACGAAGGCCUUCGGGUCGUAAACCACUGUCAGUGGGAAAGAAGGGUGUCGGUGCUAAUACCAUCGGCAUUUGACGGUACCUGCAGAGGAAGCCCCGG
rnacentral:rRNA from 1 species